CCCCUUUUUUCCUCCUUUCCUUUUCCUUUUCCCUUUUUCCCCUUCUUUUCCUCCCAUUUUUUUCCCAUUUUCUUUUCCUUUUUCUUCUUUUUUCUCUUCUUUUCUUCCCCUUUUUCUCCUUUUUCUCCCUUUUUUCUCUUUUUCCCUCUCCUUUCCCAUUCCUUUUCCUCCUUUCCCCUUUCCCAUUCCCUUUUUCCCUUUUCCCUUUCUUUUCCUCCCAUUUUUCUCCUUUUUCCUUCUUCCUUUUUCUUCUUUUCCUCUCCUUUUUCCCCUUCCCUUUCCCCCCUUCCUUUUCCCUUUCUCUUUUCCCCUUUUUUCCCUUUUUCCUUUCUUUUCCUCCCAUUUUUCUCCUUUUUCCUUCUUCCUUUCCCCUCUUUUUCCCCUUUUCCCCCCUUCCCUUUCCCCUUUUUUCCCUCUCCCCUUCUUUUUCCCAUUUUUCUCUCUUUUUUCCUUUCCUUUUUCUUCUUUUUCCCCUUUUCCUCCUUUCCUCUUCCUUUUUCCCUUUUUCCUUUCUUUUCCUCCCAUUUUUUCCCAUUUUCCCCUUCAUUUUCCCUCUUUUUCCCCCUNNNNNNNNNNNNNNNNNNNNUCCCUCUUUAUUUCCUUCUCCUUUCCCCUUCCCUUUUCCAUUCCCUUUUUCCCUUUUCCUCCCAUUUUCCUCCCAUUUUCCUCCCUUUUCCCCUUUCCUUUUUCUUCUUUUUCCCCUUUUCCUCCUUUCCUCUUCCUUUUUUCCCUUUUUCCUUUCUUUUCCUCCCAUUUUUUCCCAUUUCCCCUUCAUUUUCCUUCUUUUUCCCCCUUUUUUCCUCCUUUUCUCCUCCUUUCUUCUCCCUUUUUCUUCUUUUUCCUCUCCUUUUCUUCCCAUUUCUCUCCCUUCCCUUUUCCUCUUUUUCCCUCUCCUUUCCCAUUCCUUUUCCCUCUUUUAUUUCCUUCUCCUUUCCCCUUCCCUUUUCCCAUUCCCUUUUUCCCUUUUCCUCUUUUUUUCCUCCCAUUUUCCUCCCUUUUCCCCUUUCCUUUUUCUUCUUUUUCCCCUUUUCCUCCUUUCCUCUUCCUUUCCCCCCUUUUCCUUUCUUUUCCUCCCAUUUUUUCCCAUUUUCCCCUUCAUUUUCCCUCUUUUUCCCCCUUUUUCUCUCCUUUCCCCUUCCUUUUUCUUCUUCUUUUCUUCCCAUUUUUCUCCUUUUUCUCCCUUUUUUCUCUUUUCCCCUCUCCUUUCCCAUUCCUUUUCCUCCUUUCCCCUUUCCCAUUCCAUUUUUCCCUUUUCCCUUUCUUUUCCUCCCAUUUUUCUCCUUUUUCCUUCUUCCUUUCCCCUCUUUUUCCCCUUUUCCCCCCUUCCCUUUCCCCUUUUUUCCCUCUCCCCUUCUUUUUCCCAUUUUUCUCUCUUUUUUCCUUUCCUUUUUCUUCUUUUUCCCCUUUUCCUCCUUUCCUCUUCCUUUUUCCCUUUUUCCUUUCUUUUCCUCCCAUUUUUUCCCAUUUUCCCCUUCAUUUUCCUGCUUUUUCCCCUUUUUUCCUCCUUUUCUCCUCCUUUCUUCUCCCUUUUUCCUCUUUUUCCUCUUCUUUUCUUCCCAUUUCUCUCCCUUCCUUUUUCCUCUUUUUCCCUCUCCUUUCCCAUUCCUUUUCCUCCUUUCCCCUUUCCCAUUCCCUUUUUCCCUUUUCCCUUUCUUUUCCUCCCAUUUUUUCCUAUUUUCUUCUUCCUUUUUCUUCUUUUCCCCUCCUUUUUCCCCUUCCCUUUCCCCCCUUCCUUUUCCCUUUCUCUUUUCCCCUUUUUUCCCUUUUCCCUUUCUUUUCCUCCCAUUUUUCUCCUUUUUCCUUCUUCCUUUCCCCUCUUUUUCCCCUUUUCCCCCCUUCCCUUUCCCCUUUUUUCCCUCUCCCCUUCUUUUUCCCAUUUUUCUCUCUUUUUUCCUUUCCUUUUUCUUCUUUUUCCCCUUUUCCUCCUUUCCUCUUCCUUUCCCCCCUUUUCCACUUCUUUUUCUCCCAUUUUUUCCCAUUUUCCCCUUCCUUUUCCCUCUUUUUCCCCCUUUUUUCCUCCUUUUCUCCUCCUUUCUUUUCCCUUUUUCUUCUUUUUCCUCUUCUUUUCUUCCCAUUUUUCUUCCUUUUUCCUCUUUUUCCCUCUCCUUUCCCAUUCCUUUUCCCUCUUUAUUUCCCAUUCCUUUUCCUCCUUUCCCCUUUCCCAUUCCCUUUUUCCCUUUUCCUCUUUUUUUCCUCCCAUUUUCCUCCCUUUUCCCCUUUCCUUUUUCAUCUUUUUCCCUUUUUCCUCCUUCCUUUUCCCCAUCCCUCUUUUUCCUCUUUUCUUUUCCCCAUUUUCCCCUCCUUUGUUUUCUUUUCCCCCCUUUUCCUUUCCCUUUUCCCCCUUUUCCUUUCCCUUUUUUUCCCUUUUCCUCCCAUUUUCCUCCCUUUUCCCAUUUCCUUUUUCUUCUUUUUCCCCUUUUCCUCCUUUCCUGUUCCUUUUCCCCCUUUUUCUCUUCUUUUCCUCCCAUUUUUUCCCAUUUUCCCCUUCCUUUUCCCUCUUUUUCCCCCUUUCCCCUUCCUUUUUCUUCUUUUUCCUCUUCUUUUCUUCCCAUUUUUCUCCUUUUUCUCCCUUUUUUCUCUUUUUCCCUCUCCUUUCCCAUUCCUUUUCCUCCUUUCCCCUUUCCCAUUUCCUUUUUCCCUUUUCCCUUUCUUUCCCUCCCAUUUUUUCCUAUUUUCUUCUUCCUUUUUCUUCUUUUCCCCUCCUUUUUCCCCUUCCCUUUCCCCCCUUCCUUUUCCCUUUCUCUUUUCCCCUUUUUUCCCUUUUUCCUUUCUUUUCCUCCCAUUUUUUCCCAUUUUCCCCUUCAUUUUCCUUCUUUUUCCCCCUUUUUUCCUCCUUUUCUCCUCCUUUCUUCUCCCUUUUUCUUCUUUUUCCUCUCCUUUUCUUCCCAUUUCUCUCCCUUCCUUUUUUCUCUUUUUCCCUCUCCUUUCCCAUUCCUUUUCCCUCUUUAUUUCCUUCUCCUUUCCCCUUCCCUUUUCCCAUUCCCUUUUUCCCUUUUCCUCUUUUUUUCCUCCCAUUUUCCUCCCUUUUCCCCUUUCCUUUUUCUUCUUUUUCCCUUUUUCCUCCUUCCUUUUCCCCAUCCCUCUUUUUCCCCUUUUCUUUUCCCCAUUUUCCCCUCCUUUGUUUUCUUUUUCCCCCUUUUCCUUUCCCUUUUCCCUCUUUUCCUUUCCCUUUUUUCCCUUUUCCUCCCAUUUUCCUCCCUUUUCCCCUUUCCUUUUUCUUCUUUUUCCCCUUUUUCUCCUUUCCUGUUCCUUUUCCAUUUUUUCCACUUCUUUUCCUCCCAUUUUCCCCUUCAUUUUCCCUCUUUUUCCCCCUUUUUCCCUCCUUUCCCCUUCCUUUUUCUUCUUUUUCCUCUUCUUUUCUUCCCAUUUUUCUCCUUUUUCUCCCUUUUUUCUCUUUUUCCCUCUCCUUUCCCAUUCCUUUUCCCUCUUUAUUUCCUUCUCCUUUCCCCUUCCCUUUUCCCAUUCCCUUUUUCCCUUUUCCUCUUUUUUUCCUCCCAUUUUCCUCCCUUUUCCCCUUUCCUUUUUCAUCUUUUUCCCUUUUUCCUCCUUCCUUUUCCCCAUCCCUCUUUUUCCUCUUUUUUUUUCCCCAUUUUCCCCUCCUUUGUCUCCUUUUUCCCCCCUUUUCCCUUCCCUUUUCCCUCUUUUCCUUUCCCUUUUUUUUCUUUUUCCUCCCAUUUUCCUCCCUUUUCCCCUUUCAUUUUUCUUCUUUUUCCCUUUUUCCUCCUUCCUUUUCCCCCAUCCCUUUUUUUCCCCUUUUCUUUUCCCCAUUUUCCUCUCCUUUAUCUUCUUUUUCCCCCUUUUCCCUUCCCUUUUUUUCCCUUUUCCCUUUAUUUUCCUCCCUUUCCCGCCCCCUUUCCCCCCCAUUUCCCAUUAUUCCCCAUUNN
rnacentral:lncRNA from 1 species